GCCUUUGUAACUCAGUUGGUUAGAGCGCUGCACCGGAAUCGCAGGGCCGUAGGUUCAAUUCCUACCAGAGGAC